GGAUGUGAGAAUGAUCUGGCUAUGACAUCUGUCACCCCAUCAAUAGCAAGGCUUGAUUUGGCUAAUCUCUCUGGCUAGGCUCCCUCAUCAUUCCAUGUGUGUCCCUCCUGAAGCUGCGUGCUUGAUCAAAAAGGACAUCAUUUGCCAUAGAUGAGGAUCUUCUUUCAUCAAGGGUAUUCGAAUAGCUGUUCUCCCUUGCUAAAACCUCGAAACAAGCUCUUGGCUCAUGUGUAAGAGAACGUAGAGUAGUCAAGUCUCCAAGACUCCAGAUAUAUGCAAAUGAGGCACUGCAUGAGGCAAUCUGCCUUAAAAU
rnacentral:snRNA from 1 species